CUCGUAGGCGGUUUGUCGCGUCUGCUGUGAAAUCCCGAGGCUCAACCUCGGGCCUGCAGUGGGUACGGGCAGACUAGAGUGCGGUAGGGGAGAAUGGAACUCCUGGUGUAGCGGUGGAAUGCGCAGAUAUCAGGAAGAACACCAAUGGCGAAGGCAGUUCUCUGGGCCGUAACUGACGCUGAGGAGCGAAAGCAUGGGGAGCGAACA
rnacentral:rRNA from 1 species